AUUGAACGCUGGCGGCAGGCCUAACACAUGCAAGUCGAACGAGUGGCGGACGGGUGAGUAAUGUCUGGGAAACUGCCUGAUGGGGGGGGAUAACUACUGGAAACGGUAGCUAAUACCGCAUACAAUCAGAUGUGCCCAGAUGGGAUGAGCUUGGUGGUGGGGUAACGGCUCACAAAGUCGACGAUCCCUAGCUGGUCUGAGAGGAUGACCAGCCCCCCUGGGACUUAGCCACGGUCCAGACUCCUACGGGAGGCAGCAUUGGGGAAGAGUUCACAAUGGGCGCAAGCCUGAUGCAGCCAUGCCGCGUGUAUGAAGAAGGCCUUCGGUUUGUAAAGUACUGUCAGCGGGGAGGCGUUACCCGCAGAAGAAGCACCGGCUAACUCCGUGCCAGCCGCCGCGGUAAUAC
rnacentral:rRNA from 1 species